UGUUGUUUUCCACAUUCAUCCUAUUUCUUUUAAUCUGAAUUUAAAAAAAAGACCAGAGCUCUGCUAGGGUUUUUAACCCCUACCUAUCAACGUCGUUCCUUGUUUCUCCCUCUCCACAGUAGCUCGCUCUCUGAUCUUCUCUCUGCGUCGUGCUCUUCUCUGAUCCUCUCCAUCCACGCAGUUGAUCGUUCUGUCUUGCACAGUGCUUGUUUUCUGAUUCUCGACGCCGUAAUACACCGCCACCGCCACCGCUGCCGCUACACUCGGUCCACCACUUCAUUGUUUUCUGUCACCUCUCUGUUUCUCUACGACUCUAAUCUCUGUCCUUUUCCCUCCACCUCUGCCUCUGCGACCUACUUCUUUAAGGAAAACACUAAAUGAUUUUUUCAGGUCAAACGCUGUGAAGGAUGUUAUGUACUAUGGCUCAUGUACGUUAACAGUCAGAGGAAGCUUGAUGAUCGGCUUGCUGCCUAUGUGUGUGUAUGCUUGUUAGGAUUUUUCCCAUUUUUCUUUAUUUGCUGUAGCACUUCAUAGCCUUUACACCAAAUUAUUAUUGUGGUGUCAUAAUGUCUUUGACAUUGUAACUUCAUAAAUUGUUAUAUUGAUUGAAUGAAAGAUAAUAUUUUGCCUAGA